GAUGAACGCUGGCGGCGUGCCUAAUACAUGCAAGUCGAACGCUGAAGGAAGGAGCUUGCUCUUUCCGGAUGAGUUGCGAACGGGUGAGUAACGCGUAGGUAACCUGCCUGGUAGCGGGGGAUAACUAUUGGAAACGAUAGCUAAUACCGCAUAACAGUAGAUGUUGCAUGACAACUAUUUGAAAGGGGCAAUUGCUCCACUACCAGAUGGACCUGCGUUGUAUUAGCUAGUUGGUGAGGUAACGGCUCACCAAGGCGACGAUACAUAGCCGACCUGAGAGGGUGAUCGGCCACACUGGGACUGAGACACGGCCCAGACUCCUACGGGAGGCAGCAGUAGGGAAUCUUCGGCAAUGGACGGAAGUCUGACCGAGCAACGCCGCGUGAGUGAAGAAGGUUGUCGGAUCGUAAAGCUCUGUUGUAAGAGAAGAACGAGUGUGAGAGUGGAAAGUUCACACUGUGACGGUAUCUUACCAGAAAGGGACGGCUAACUACGUG
rnacentral:rRNA from 1 species